AUAUAUCAAAUCCAACUCGGGUACCC
rnacentral:rasiRNA from 1 species